CCUGGCAACCAAAAGGGCUGACUGUACUCUGGGAUGCAUCAGGUCCAGCAUUACUUUCUGGGGAAGAGAUGGCGUUUUUCUGUGUGUUGGUGCCUAAAAACUGGUGCAAUUUUGAGAACCACAAUAAAAAAAAGGCAUAAAGCCAUGAGAGUACAUCCAGUGAAGAGCUAUGAAGAUGACUGUGCAGCUGGAACUAUGAGUUAGAAGGCACCUUUUCUGUGACUUCUGAGGCUUCAUUUUUAUCUGCCAUUAGAUUAGCUGAAUGGCUCACCACACCUCUGUGAGCCUUGUCUGACUACAGCUGAGUGACUGAUACAGCUGAGCAGCCAGGAAGUAAAGAAGAAAGGCAGACUUGUCUUUUAAUAAGUAAGGCAAAUCAGAAGUAAAACUAAGAGGCUUGAGAAGAAUGUUUGAAGAAUGUCAGGCUUCACUGAA